AAUGAAAUGUCUGAAUAAAGAGUUAUUCUGAUAGAAUAAAAUAUGUAUAAUUUAUAAAAUACUUUCAUUA
rnacentral:tRNA from 1 species